UUUAAUUAGACUUAAUCUCAACCCAUUGGCUUAAUCAAAUUAAGCUAAUUAGCAAUCAAAUUGCUAAUCGAUCCUCCUGCAAUACUUGCACUGGGUUAAAUGUCAAUCGUAUUGAUCAUUUAACCCUAGAACGAUUCUUAAUCAUUGAUCAACCAUCCGAUCAGAUCAUAAACUCUAAUGUGUGUGACCUCAUAGAUCCAAACCUAAGCUGGUAGCACAGAAAUAAAUUUUUAUACCAAUCGAAGUGACCAUCUAGCAAUGGUACCCGACGAUCGGAUAGG
rnacentral:lncRNA from 1 species